UACAGAGGGGGCAAGCGUUAUUCGGAAUUAUUGGGCGUAAAGGGCGCGUAGGCGGUGCGGUAAGUCACCUGUGAAAACUCUGGGCUCAACUCAGAGCCUGCAGGCGAAACUGCCGUGCUUGAGUGUGGGAGAGGUGCGUGGAAUUCCCGGUGUAGCGGUGAAAUGCGUAGAUAUCAGGAGGAACACCGGUGGCGAAGGCGGCUCUCUGGACCACAACUGACGCUGAGGCGCGAAAGCUAGGGGAGCAAACAGG
rnacentral:rRNA from 1 species